GGGUUGUGAGGUUAAGCGACUAAGCGUACACGGUGGAUGCCCUGGCAGUCAGAGGCGAUGAAGGGCGUGCUAAUCUGCGAUAAGCGCCGGUAAGGUGAUAUGAACCGUUAUAACCGGCGAUACCCGAAUGGGGAAACCCAGUGUGAUUCGUCACACUAUCAUUAACUGAAUCCAUAGGUUAAUGAGGCGAACCGGGGGAACUGAAACAUCUAAGUACCCCGAGGAAAAGAAAUCAACCGAGAUUCCCCCAGUAGCGGCGAGCGAACGGGGAGGAGCCCAGAGCCUGAAUCAGCAUGUGUGUUAGUGGAAGCGUCUGGAAAGGCGCGCGAUACAGGGUGACAGCCCCGUACACAAAAGCGCAUGUGCUGUGAGCUCGAUGAGUAGGGCGGGACACGUGGUAUCCUGUCUGAAUAUGGGGGGACCAUCCUCCAAGGCUAAAUACUCCUGACUGACCGAUAGUGAACCAGUACCGUGAGGGAAAGGCGAAAAGAACCCCGGCGAGGGGAGUGAAAAAGAACCUGAAACCGUGUACGUACAAGCAGUGGGAGCACAGGUUUACCUGUGUGACUGCGUACCUUUUGUAUAAUGGGUCAGCGACUUAUAUUCUGUAGCAAGGUUAACCGUAUAGGGGAGCCGGAGGGAAACCGAGUCUUAAUUGGGCGUUAAGUUGCAGGGUAUAGACCCGAAACCCGGUGAUCUAGCCAUGGGCAGGUUGAAGGUUGGGUAACACUAACUGGAGGACCGAACCGACUAAUGUUGAAAAAUUAGCGGAUGACCUGUGGCUGGGGGUGAAAGGCCAAUCAAACCGGGAGAUAGCUGGUUCUCCCCGAAAGCUAUUUAGGUAGCGCCUCGUGAAUUCAUCUCCGGGGGUAGAGCACUGUUUCGGCUAGGGGGCCAUCCCGGCUUACCAACCCGAUGCAAACUGCGAAUACCGGAGAAUGUUAUCACGGGAGACACACGGCGGGUGCUAACGUCCGUCGUGAAGAGGGAAACAACCCAGACCGCCAGCUAAGGUCCCAAAGUCAUGGUUAAGUGGGAAACGAUGUGGGAAGGCCCAGACAGCCAGGAUGUUGGCUUAGAAGCAGCCAUCAUUUAAAGAAAGCGUAAUAGCUCACUGGUCGAGUCGGCCUGCGCGGAAGAUGUAACGGGGCUAAACCAUGCACCGAAGCUGCGGCAGCGACGUUUAUGCGUUGUUGGGUAGGGGAGCGUUCUGUAAGCCUGCGAAGGUGGCCUGUGAGGGUUGCUGGAGGUAUCAGAAGUGCGAAUGCUGACAUAAGUAACGAUAAAGCGGGUGAAAAGCCCGCUCGCCGGAAGACCAAGGGUUCCUGUCCAACGUUAAUCGGGGCAGGGUGAGUCGACCCCUAAGGCGAGGCCGAAAGGCGUAGUCGAUGGGAAACGGGUUAAUAUUCCCGUACUUGGUGUUACUGCGAAGGGGGGACGGAGAAGGCUAUGUUGGCCGGGCGACGGUUGUCCCGGUUUAAGCGUGUAGGCUGGUUUUCCAGGCAAAUCCGGAAAAUCAAGGCUGAGGCGUGACGACGAGGCACUACGGUGCUGAAGCAACAAAUGCCCUGCUUCCAGGAAAAGCCUCUAAGCAUCAGGUAACAUCAAAUCGUACCCCAAACCGACACAGGUGGUCAGGUAGAGAAUACCAAGGCGCUUGAGAGAACUCGGGUGAAGGAACUAGGCAAAAUGGUGCCGUAACUUCGGGAGAAGGCACGCUGACACGUAGGUGAAGUGAUUUACUCAUGGAGCUGAAGUCAGUCGAAGAUACCAGCUGGCUGCAACUGUUUAUUAAAAACACAGCACUGUGCAAACACGAAAGUGGACGUAUACGGUGUGACGCCUGCCCGGUGCCGGAAGGUUAAUUGAUGGGGUCAGCGCAAGCGAAGCUCCUGAUCGAAGCCCCGGUAAACGGCGGCCGUAACUAUAACGGUCCUAAGGUAGCGAAAUUCCUUGUCGGGUAAGUUCCGACCUGCACGAAUGGCGUAAUGAUGGCCAGGCUGUCUCCACCCGAGACUCAGUGAAAUUGAACUCGCUGUGAAGAUGCAGUGUACCCGCGGCAAGACGGAAAGACCCCGUGAACCUUUACUAUAGCUUGACACUGAACAUUGAGCCUUGAUGUGUAGGAUAGGUGGGAGGCUUUGAAGUGUGGACGCCAGUCUGCAUGGAGCCGACCUUGAAAUACCACCCUUUAAUGUUUGAUGUUCUAACGUGGACCCGUAAUCCGGGUUGCGGACAGUGUCUGGUGGGUAGUUUGACUGGGGCGGUCUCCUCCUAAAGAGUAACGGAGGAGCACGAAGGUUGGCUAAUCCUGGUCGGACAUCAGGAGGUUAGUGCAAUGGCAUAAGCCAGCUUGACUGCGAGCGUGACGGCGCGAGCAGGUGCGAAAGCAGGUCAUAGUGAUCCGGUGGUUCUGAAUGGAAGGGCCAUCGCUCAACGGAUAAAAGGUACUCCGGGGAUAACAGGCUGAUACCGCCCAAGAGUUCAUAUCGACGGCGGUGUUUGGCACCUCGAUGUCGGCUCAUCACAUCCUGGGGCUGAAGUAGGUCCCAAGGGUAUGGCUGUUCGCCAUUUAAAGUGGUACGCGAGCUGGGUUUAGAACGUCGUGAGACAGUUCGGUCCCUAUCUGCCGUGGGCGCUGGAGAACUGAGGGGGGCUGCUCCUAGUACGAGAGGACCGGAGUGGACGCAUCACUGGUGUUCGGGUUGUCAUGCCAAUGGCACUGCCCGGUAGCUAAAUGCGGAAGAGAUAAGUGCUGAAAGCAUCUAAGCACGAAACUUGCCCCGAGAUGAGUUCUCCCUGAGACUU
rnacentral:rRNA from 1 species